CGGGGGGCUGCAGUGAGGAAUCUUGCGCAAUGGGGGCAACCCUGACGCAGCAACGCCGCGUGAGUGAUGAAGGCCUUCGGGUCGUAAAGCUCUGUCAGAUGGGAAGAAAAUUUUUGCGAUAAAUAAUCGCAGGGAUUGACGGUACCGUUAAAGGAAGCACCGGCUAACUCCGUGCCAGCAGCCGCGGUAAUACGGAGGGUGCAAGCGUUGUUCGGAAUUAUUGGGCGUAAAGAGCGUGUAGGCGGCCUUGUAAGUCAGAUGUGAAAUCCCUUGGCUUAACCAAGGAAGGGCAUUUGAAACUGCUUGGCUUGAGUACGGGAGGGGGAAGUGGAAUUCCCGGUGUAGAGGUGAAAUUCGUAGAUAUCGGGAGGAACACCAGUGGCGAAGGCGGCUUCCUGGACCGAUACUGACGCUGAGACGCGAAAGCGUGGGGAGCAAACAGGAUUAGAUACCCCUGUAGUC
rnacentral:rRNA from 1 species